CCCUUGUUCCUAUCCCUCCAACCCCUUCCCCGGCAACCCUUGACGCACCUAUGUCCAAUGACCUGUCUACUUCAAUAUCCGCCCUUUUCACUGCAGUCACUUCCCUGGUUAACUCCGCGAUCCCAGCAUUGCCUCCCAUCGAUAUACCUCCUCCUCCUCCUCCUCCUCCCCCCGAGCCUUCAACCCCUCCCUUGUCUCCCGUUAAUCUCCUCGAGCCUUCCGAUCCAAUCUCUGCUCUUGCACAUGUCCUAAACACC